rfam:Neurospora crassa OR74A unplaced genomic scaffold supercont12.16, whole genome shotgun sequence.
UAUUUAAUUAAUUCUAUUAAUAAUUAUAUACUUAUUUUAAAAAUUAAAUUAUAUAUAUUUAAAUUUAAGUAAUUAAACCGCAAAACUACAAAUAAUUUAUUAAAUUAAUUAUAGUUUAUUUAAUAGUAUUUUAUUAUAUAGAUAAUUGUAGUAAUUUUAAAGUUAAUAUAUAUUAAAAACCCCAACUUCGGAAAGGGUAUAUUUAUUAAAUUAAAAACUAAUACCCUUCGGGGCUAAUUAGUAAUUUAUAAUAAUUUCUCGAAUUGUAUAGCCUUGCAUUAGUAAUAAUUUAUUCAAAUUUCUACCCUAUUAACUUUUAACGGUUAGGUUUUGGCUAAUUAUAGUAAUAAUAAGUAAUGGAGGGUUAGGGCUCAACCCCGGAAAAGGAGCCUAAAAAACGGUUACUAUAUCUAAGGAAGGUAACAAGCGUACAAAUUACCCAAUCCCGACACGGGGAGGUAGUAAUAAUAAAUAUUAAUAUAAGGUUUUUUUAGGUCUUAUAAUUAGAAUAAGUAUAAUUUAAAUCCUUUAACGAAGAAUAAUUGGAGGGUAAGUUUAGUACUAGUAAUUGCGGUAAUUCUAAUUCUAAUAGCGUAUAUUAAAAUUAUUAAAGUUAAAAAGCUUGUAAUUGAACUUUAAGUUCGGCUUGUCGGUCCGCCUUACUAUAUAUACUAAUUAGGUCGGGCCUUUUUUCCUAGAGAAUUAUAUACCCUUUACUAAAUAUAUCGGAGAACUAGGACUUUUAUUAUAAAUAAAUUAAAUUGUUUAAAAAAGGCCUAUACUCGAAUAUAUUAGUAUAGAAUAAUAGAAUAGGACGUAUAAUUCUAUUUUAUUAAUUUCUAAGACCGCUAUAAUAAUUAAUAAGGAUAGUCGGAGGUAUUAAUAUUCAAUUAUUAAAGGUAAAAUUCUUAGAUUUAUUAAAGAUUAAUUAUUAUAAAAGUAUUUACUAAAGAUAUUUUUAUUAAUUAGGAACGAAAGUUAGGGGAUUGAAGAUAAUUAAAUAUUAUUGUAGUUUUAAUUAUAAAUUAUAUUAAUUAAGGAUUGGAUAGUAUUAUUUUUUAACCUAUUCGGCACCUUAUAAUAAAUUAAAAUAUUUAAGCUUCUAAGGGAGUAUAGUUGUAAGGUUAAAAUUUAAAGAAAUUAACGGAAGGGUACUAUUAGGGGUGGAGCUUACAAUUUAAUUUAAUUUAAUAUAAGGAAAUUUACUAAGUCCAAACACAAUAAGGAUUAAUAAAUUGAGAGCUCUUUCUUAAUUUCGUAAGUAGUAGUAUAUAGCUAUUUUUAAUUAGUAGAGUAAUUUAUUUAUUUAAUUAUAAUAACGAAUAAGACUUUAACUUACUAAAUAGCCUAUAUUACUUUAGUAGUACGCUAGCUUCUUAGAGGGAUUAUCGGCUUAAGCUAAUAGAAAUUUGAAGUAAUAAUAAGUUUAUAAUACCCUUAAAUAUUUAGGCCGUACGCGCGCUAUACUAAUACAAUUAAUAAAUACUCCCUUAGCCGGAAGGUCCGGGUAAUUUUAUUAAAUUAUAUUAUAUUAAGGAUAGAGUAUUAUAAUUAUUACUCUUCAAUAAAGAAUCCCUAAUAAAUGUAAAUUAUUAAUUUAUAUUAAUUACAUUCCUACUCUUUAUAUAUACCGCCUAUUACUACUACUAAUUAAAUAAUUUAGUAAAGCUUCCGAAUUAGUUUAAAGAAGUUGGUAAUAAUUACCUAAGGCCGGAAAGCUAUCCAAAUUUAAUUAUUUAGAGGAAAUAAAAGUCGUAAUAAGGUCUCUAUUAGUAAAUUAAUGGAAAGAUUAUUA